GCAGUGACAGAAAAAUGAAGAAAAUUGAUGCACUACCAGUUCUAAUGUGACAUUUGAAAAGUUUCAAAGAAUGCAUCAGGAAAUACAGUUGUGAACCAUUAUAAGUGAAAGAAAUUUUCCACAAUCCAGACUUAAGGAGGAAGAUCUGGUCUGAUUACAACUGAAACUGCGCCUUGCUCUUGUUGAUCUCUAAUACAAGUCACAGUGAAACUCAAGGCGCUGUUGUUUUUGAAGGUUAUAACAGCUUCUUGACCUACAUGUCCUCUGACAGA
rnacentral:lncRNA from 1 species